rnacentral:tRNA from 1 species
GCCCUAAUAGUAUAACCAUUACCUUGGYCUUGUAARCCAAUAAUGAAGANCUCAAACCUUCUUAGGGC